AACAUAAAUGAGAAAAUCACCAAUAUAAUUUGGGCGAUAUGGGCCUAAAGUUUCUACCGAACAACCGUAAAUUGUUCGACUAUUGGGAAUAUAUUUCACUCC
rnacentral:ncRNA from 2 species